rnacentral:tRNA from 1 species
GCACCCGUAGCUCAGUUGGAUAGAGCGUCGGUCUACGGAACCGAAGGUCAGAGGUUCAAAUCCUCUCGGGUGCACCA